AUUUGAGCAGUAGCGGAGCGUUCUGUAGGCCGAUGAAGCCAUACCCGGGAGGGAUGGUGGAGGUAUCAGAAGUGAGAAUGCUGACAUGAGUAGCGACAAAGAGUGUGAGAGACACUCUCGCCGAAAGUCCAAGGGUUCCUGCGCAAUGCUAAUCAGCGCAGGGUAAGCCGGCCCCUAAGGCGAGGCCGAAAGGCGUAGUCGAUGGGAACCAGGUUAAUAUUCCUGGGCCAGCGGGUAGUGACGGAUUGCGGACGUUGUACACUCUUACUGGAUUGAGUGUGCAGCCAAGCCGUCCCUGGAAAUAGCUCCCGCAUGAGACCGUACCCCAAACCGACACA
rnacentral:rRNA from 1 species